rnacentral:rRNA from 1 species
AGAGUUUGAUCCUGGCUCAGAAUGAACGCUGGCGGCGUGCUUAACACAUGCAAGUCGUACGAGAAAUCCCUUGUUUGUAAGGGAGAGUAAAGUGGUGUACGGGUGAGUAACGCGUGGGUAAUCUACCCUUGAGUCCGGGAUAACGUUGCGAAAGCGGCGUUAAUACCGGAUGAUGUCCAAUAAACUUUGGUUUUUUGGAUUAAAGGUGGUUUUUAUAUAUAAGCUACCGUUUGGGGAGGAGCCCGCGUACCAUUAGCUUGUUGGCGGGGUAAUGGUCCACCAAGGCUAUGAUGGUUAGCUGGUCUGAGAGGACGAUCAGCCACACUGGAAUUGAUAUAUGGUCCAGACUCCUAUGGGAGGCAGCAGUGAGGAAUCUUGCGCAAUGGGGGAAACCCUGACGCAGCAACGCCGCGUGAGUGAUGAAGGCUUUUGGGUCGUAAAGCUCUGUCAAGUGGGAAAAAAUUGUUCCAGGUUAAUAAUCUGGAGCAUUGAUGGUACCACUGAAGGAAGCACCGGUUAACUCCGUGUUAGUAGUUGUGGUAAUACGGAGGGUGCAAGCGUUAUUCGGAAUCAUUGGGCGUAAAGGGCACGUAGGCGGCCGUCUAAGUCAGAUGUGAAAUUCCGGGGUUUAACCCCGGAAGUGCAUUUGAUACUGGAUAGCUUGAGUAUGGGAGAGGGAAGUGGAAUCCCUGGUGGAGAGGUGAAAUUUGUAGAUAUCAGGAGGAAUACCGGUGGUGAAGGCGACUUCCUGGACCAAUACUGACGCUAAGGUGCGAAGGCGUGGGGAGUAAAUAGGAUUAGAUAUCCUGGUAGUCCACGCAGUAAACGGUGAUCACUAGGUGUAGCGGGUAUUGAUCCCUGCUGUGCCGGAGCUAACGCAUUAAGUGAUCCGCCUGGGGAGUAUGGCCGUAAGGUUAAAACUCAAAGGAAUUGACGGGGGCCCGCACAAGCGGUGGAGCAUGUGGUUUAAUUUGAUGCAAUGUGAAAAAUUUUACCUGGGUUUGAUAUUUGGGGAACCUCUAUGAAAGUAGAGGGUGUUUUUUGGGGAGUUCCAAGAUAGGUGCUGUAUGGCUGUCGUCAGCUCGUGUUGUGAGAUGUUGGGUUAAGUCCCGCAACGAGUGUAACCCUUGUAUUUAGUUGUUAUUAUUUAGUUGGGUAUUCUAAAUGGACUGCCCCGAAAUGGGGAGGAAGGUGGGGAUGACGUUAAGUCUUUAUGGCUUUUAUGCCCAGGGUUAUACACGUGCUAUAAUGGACGGUAUAAUGGGUAGCGAUACCGUGAGGUGGAGCUAAUCCCCAAAAAGUCGUUCUUAGUUUGGAUUGGAGUUUGUAAUUCGACUCCAUGAAGUUGGAAUCGCUAGUAAUCGUGGAUUAGUAUGCCACGGUGAAUAUGUUUUCGGGCCUUGUAUAUAUCGCCCGUCACACCAUGAGAGUUGGUUGUACCAGAAGUUGUUGGGUUAAUUUUUGGGAGGUAGGUGUUUAAGGUAUGGCUGAUGAUUGGGGUGAAGUUGAAAUAAGGUA